CCUACGGGGGGCAGCAGUGAGGAAUAUUGGUCAAUGGGCGUAAGCCUGAACCAGCCAAGUCGCGUGAGGGAUGAAGGUUCUAUGAUUCGUAAACCUCUUUUAUAAGGGAAUAAAGUGCGGGUCGUGUCCCGUUUUGUAUGUACCUUAUGAAUAAGGAACGGCAAACUCCGUGCCAGCAGCCGCGGUAAUACGGAGGAUCCGAGCGUUGUCCGGAUUUAUUGGGUUUAACGGGUGCGUAGGCGGCAUUUUAAGUCAGCGGUGAAAGUCUGUGGCUCAACCAUAGAAUUGCCGUUGAAACUGGGAGGCUUGAGUAUGUUUGAGGCAGGCGGAAUGCGUGGUGUAGCGGUGAAAUGCGUAGAUAUCACGCAGAACCCC
rnacentral:rRNA from 1 species